rnacentral:rRNA from 1 species
GAUGAACGCUGGCGGCGUGCCUAACACAUGCAAGUCGAACGAGAUGCGUAUUGGAAAGCUUCGGCCGGAAGAUACGUUAUCUAGUGGCGGACGGGUGAGUAACACGUGGGUAACCUGCCUUAUGGAGGGGGAUAACAGAGAGAAAUCACUGCUAAUACCGCAUAAGCACACAGUACCGCAUGGUACAGGGUGAAAAGAUUUAUCGCCAUAAGAUGGACCCGCGUCUGAUUAGCCAGUUGACAGGGUAAAAGCCUACCAAAGCAACGAUCAGUAGCCGAUCUGAGAGGAUGACCGGCCACAUUGGGACUGAGACACGGCCCAAACUCCUACGGGAGGCAGCAGUGGGGAAUAUUGCACAAUGGGGGAAACCCUGAUGCAGCGACGCCGCGUGAGUGAAGAAGUAUUUCGGUAUGUAAAGCUCUAUCAGCAGGGAAGAUAAUGACAGUACCUGACUAAGAAGCCCCGGCUAACUACGUGCCAGCAGCCGCGGUAAUACGUAGGGGGCAAGCGUUAUCCGGAUUUACUGGGUGUAAAGGGAGCGUAGACGGAAUGGCAAGUCUGAAGUGAAAUACCCGGGCUCAACCUGGGAACUGCUUUGGAAACUGUUGUUCUAGAGUGUUGGAGAGGUAAGUGGAAUUCCUGGUGUAGCGGUGAAAUGCGUAGAUAUCAGGAAGAACACCGGAGGCGAAGGCGGCUUACUGGACAAUAACUGACGUUGAGGCUCGAAAGCGUGGGGAUCAAACAGG